rnacentral:piRNA from 1 species
UGGUUCUGGAUUAACAUUUUCGGUGUGUC